rnacentral:lncRNA from 1 species
AAGUACUGCAUUCAAAGAAAUACAAACACAACCAGAAAGGAUUAUAAGUCUAUAUUCAGCAUUUCAAAUCUGUCCUGUCUAUCAAGGAAACACCGAAGGAGGAGGUAAAUUCUUGAUGCAUAGCAGAGAUUUAAAAAUUCUCUCUCACCAUUGCUGCCCAGUCACUACCUUGCAUGUGAAUGCCAGCUUGUCUCUUGAGUUGUCUCUUUCCUAUUCUCAACUUCCACCCCCAAACACAUUUAGAGCACAGGUCUUUUCUGUCACACUUGCCAGUCUUCCUUGCCUGCUCUUAUUAUGUAAAUCGAAUUCACCACUCUGUCCUGUUUUGUUUUCAUCUCUGCUUCACUCAAUACCCCGACUCCCUCAGGACCGUGUUGCUUCUGCCCUGAAUGAGUUCUUUUCUCCCAGGCUGCAGGGACCACAGAGGUCUUCUUCCUAUUCCUUCAUGGACUGUAUGAAUUCCACCCAGCUGGUGACAUCAUGGCAGGUGGUUUGGAGAUGACCUGGUAACCUGCCCUGUGUUAAAUGUCCUCAGACCGGAGCUCAGAACUUUUUGAGUAUUUUCAAAAGGGUCACCGUGUCUCCAGAGAAAUGCUCCCAACAGUCCUAACUGAAGUCAGCACUGAACUGGGCAAAGGACUCAAGAAAAAAGUUUCCUUCCUCCUUGAUGUGUUGCUCAAAGCACUGCGUGAGACCACACAGAGCAGUAUCCAAGCAUUGAGCAACACUCAGAAGGGCAGCAGGACAAAUGCGUAGCUGCUAAUGACCCCUCUUCUGCCAAUGCUUUCCUCCCUCAGCCCUCUCUAGGGUCACCGAACAGCUGUAAAUACAAGCUGACCACCCUCAAGGAGCUGGGAUGGAGGGAGAUUUUCUCCAGUCUCCAGUUCUGCCUUUGCACCUCUGUGGCCUCUCAAAUGCUCAGCCAGUAUUUUGAGUACACCCAACCUCACCCAGGAGAUAUAUGUCACCCAGAAACAAGUGCUCUCCAGAGAGAAGUCUUCCUAACAUCGUCGGGGCAGUCCUCCUCCACCUCCUCCUCUUCCCAGCAAUUCGUUCUGCAAAUUAAUGCCAUCCAAACAAUCCUCGAGAACUAUCUAGGAAAGGACGAGGACCAAAUUACCAAGCCUUUGGAUCUAAUCCAUGUGGCAUCCCAUCUGUGAGCUCCAGGGAGAUUCAAAGUUGGCCAGUGCUGGAGGCCAAUCAUAUUUAUACCAUUUCCAUAUGGCACCUUUUGAUUGAGACUCGGCAAGCACAUGAUCGGAUUGGAGGAAGACAGAGAGCAAGACGUUGGAGCAAGCAGCAGGGGUGGAGCCUGGGACACAAGGGCAGCACAUAGCAAGCCCUUGCUUUGGAGCAGAGGUGGCCGGUUUCCAGGGCAGUGAGUAUUUGAGGCAGUAAUUGUGAUCUUCAGCUUCACUGGUGCAAGUAUCACCUGUGAGAAAGCAGGCAUUGGGUGUGAUUAAUUAGUAUGCUUCUUUAGCAUAUGGGGUGAGGGAGGGACAGGGGCUAAUUUGAGCAGUCAGGGACAAGGAGUCAACAUCAGUGUGGAGUGAUAACGUUUGUACACCAAGCUGGUAAAUAGACAUCCUAGUUACAUAUGAUUCUAUUGGCCUUGCCUACAGAGGAGAAAAAAGUGAUCAAGUGGUUGUGGAUUUUAUGUUUGCUUACCUGUUUUUUAAAAAAAAAGGUGAAUAAGGAAUUUUAUAAAGAUGUUGGAUUCCAGCAUGUUAGACAUUGUAGUGGAUUGAAUUUUGAUCCCCAAAAAGAUAUGUCCCAAGUCUUAACCUCACAGUAGCUGUCAAUGUGAGCUUAUAUAGAGCCUUUGCAAAUGUAUUAAGUUCAGCAUCUCCAGACGAGAUCAUCCUGGAUUCAGUGUGGGCCCUAAAUUCAAUGACUGGUGGUGGUAUAAGAGAAAGGAGAGAGAGACAAACAGACCCAGAGACACACAGAGGGAAAGGCCAUCAGAAGACGAGGCAGCUAUUGGAGUUACGCAGCCAGAGCCAAGGGAUGCCAGAAGCCAACAGAAGCUGGAGGAGUCAAGGAAGGAUUCUCCCCUACAACCCUGGAAGGGACUGUGGCCCUGCUGACACUUUCUGGGCUCCAAAACUGAGUGAGAAUGAAUUUCUGUUGUUU